rnacentral:lncRNA from 1 species
AAUAACAACAAGAGAGAAGUCAAAAGAUAGGCAAUAACUGGAACACUCUUUCUGCGCAGGACGCCAUUUUGUGCGUUAGAAUUUGCAAUUUCCCGGCCCGGCAUAGAUAGAUAAUUUGGCGGUUUGUACUGAAUACUACUAAACAUAUUUUCUAUUUUCAUUACUGGAUAGUGCUGGAAUUGCUGAAAUUGAAUAUCGGAACUUGGAAUUACAGAGAAGUGAUAUAGACUAAUCAUCAUCAUCAUCAUCAGCCCCUCUCGAUCCACUGCUGGACAUAGGCCUCCCAUGUUUGUAGACAAGUAGAAGAGACAAGUAGACUAAUAGAAUAGAAUAACAGGUAUAGUGUAGGUACAUGUAAGUAGGUAGGUUAAUACCUUGGCUACCGUGUGAGAUGCCAGCAUUUGACACAAAAUAUCGACUGUAAUAUCGUGUGAGACGCUGGCUUCCAUUGUUAUUAAAUGAUUUAAAAUGCUCUAAAGCGAGAGUUUUUAGUUUCUCAUAUUGGUUUCAAAAUAAGGAUAAAAUGGUACAAAAUUACAUCUUAUUAGUUUAAGUGAUCGCUAACCAAGGUGUUAAACGUUAAUAAAGGUAUGGUAGUUAUAUUGUAUGUAGGUACAGUUGAGUCCAUGGUUCUCAUUAAUACCUGGAGAGAUAAAACACAUACUUGUCACUUAGCACCAUUGUGUUCCACGCAUGACACUAACGACAAACCAGCUACUGCCUGUUAUUAAGUAAACACACAUGUUAUUUUUAUGAACAUUUUAGACUCAGUACAUCGAAAAAAUAGAGGUACAAAAAGACGCUUGGGGACGUUUUCAGAUUUAAGUACAAUUUGCAACAUUUCUGGUUUGUUUAUUGUUUGUUUUUCACAACUAAUUUUAUUUUGGCAUUAAUUUACAUACAAAGUUCACCUCAUUCACACAGAUUGUCAUAACCACUUUCUGCCAAUGUACUCAACUGUAAAAUUAGUUUAUCAUUUUAUAGUGUAAAUACAAAUAAAAAACUAGUAUUGUAACAAAAGUCAGUGUUUUGUAAGUAGGUAGGUUAAAAAUAUCAAUAAAGGUUCUGUUUAGUUACAAUUUAUAGUGGUUAUAUUGUAUGUAGGUAAUAUUAUUUUAUCAUUUUGCAAUGUCAAAUUCUAAAUCCCAACCCGGUAAAUAUGUUCACGAAUGUUUAGCGUCCUAUUGUAAUAACAAGUAUUUUCAUCCUGUCACAGACCCAGAGUAUACAAAUAAAAAGUUUUUUAGAUUUCCAGAUAAAGAUUUAAAAAGACGUCAUGACUGGUUUGAAAUUAUUGGUAUUGAAUUUACUGAAACUAGGUGUUAUUUAUGUGAAGAUCAUUUUGAGGAAACACAAUUUACAAGCAGCUUAAAAACAAAACUUUUAAAUAAUGCAGUGCCCUCCAAAAUAAUUCACAUAUCCAAUGUUCAUGAUCAACUUUUGCCUAUACCUGCACAUUCUUCUGAUGAAAUCUCUGUUUCAAAUGUACACAUUUUUAGUAACAAAGAAAUAGUUCCUCCAAAAUUAUCCUCCAUUAAUAACCCAGUCAAUAAUAAACAGUUCGAUUAAACGUAACUUACCUUAGUACAAAUGUGCUCUUAAAAAAAGUUACAGCCCUUUGAAAUUACAAAAUGAAAAUCGAUUUUUUCCAAUAUAUCGAAAACUAUUAGAGAUUUUUUAUUGAAAAUGGACACGUAUCAUUCUUAUAGCAGGAAUAUCUUAAAACAAAAUUAUAGUAAAAUUUGUCCACCCCAUUAAAAUUUUAUGGGGGUUUUGUUCCCUUAAACCCCCCUAAACUUUUUUGUACGUUCCAAUUAAUUCAUUAUUGUUAUGCUAUUAGUUAAACACAACGUUUCUAAAACUUUUUUGCCUCCCAGUAUUUUUUUGAUAAGCCAGUUUUUAUCGAGAUACGGCUUCUUUUUUAAUAUAUUUACAUAAAAAUUUUAUGGAGGUUUUGUUCCUUUAAACCCCCCAAAUGUUUGUGUACGUUCCAAUUAAACUAUUAUUGUGGUACCGUUAGUUAAACAAACUGUUUUUAAAACUUUUUUGCCUCUUAGUCCUUUUUUGAUAAGUCACCUUUUAUCGAGAUGUGGCUUCUUUUUCAAAAUAUACCUAAAAAUGUAAAUUAUAAAUAAAUUUUCAGAUUAUUAACAGGUCUCUAUAAUCGUACUUACCAUAUACAAAAUAUGUAGUGGAUUCCAAAAAUAUUCAAAAUAUCUCGAUAAACACUGGCUUACCGAAAAAUUACUAAGACGCAAAAAAGUUUUAAAAACAUUGUGUUUAAGUAAUGGUGCCACAAUAAUAAUUAAAUUGGAACGUACACAAAAGUUUGGGGAGGUUUAAGGGAACAAAACCCCCAUAAAAUUUUGAGGGGCUGCACAAAUUUCACUUUAAUUUUUUUUUAAGAUUUUGCUGCCACAAGAAUGCCACAUGUCUAUUUUAAAUAAAAAAUCUUCAAGAGUUUUCGAUAUAUAAAAAAAAAUCGAUUCUCAUUUUGUAACUUCAAAGGGCUAUAACUUUUUUUGUGUGCACUAUUGUAUUUAGGUUAGUGAGGUUCAAUCAACCUAUUUUUGGCCCCAAAAUCUGUGGUAUAAUUUAUGACCAAUCUUUUCGGGACACCCUGUAUAGUAUAUCUAUAAUAUAUCACUGAUAUAUUAUAUUAUAAUAUAAGUUUCAAGCUUUGUAUGCAUUCCUUGCUACAUGUACGACAAACUUUUCCUCUGUGACCAUAAUUGUAUUUAAAUAAACCAAACUUGUAUUGAGAGACAAUAACGUAAAAGUGACAUCUUUGAGAACUAAGCGUUCGAAAACAUAGCAACUCUGAAAGAUUUCACAGAGGAAAAGUUUGUCGGACAUGUCGCAAGGAAUGCAAACACAAAGUUUAAAACUUAUAUGUAUCACUGAAAUUUUAGGUCCUUGUACUGGGGACUAUAUAGUGUAAAGUUAAACAAUUUUUAAUGGCAAACAUUUUGAUUUCUCUUAUAAACAUUUAUUUAAAUUGCAGGUUUGUUCGAUUUGUUUAUCACCUAAAAGUAUUUUACUUAUUUAUUGUAAGUUGAUAUUUUAAAGGUUUGUAUUUUAGCUUUAGUAAAGUUCUCAGUGUAUUAUAUAAUAUUUUCCUUUAGAGAUUUUUAGGCUACUAAUCAAAUAUGUAUCUGCAUUUUGUAAACUAUAAGAUAAAUAAAGAAUAAAGAAGAGCGGGGAUAUGCAUGCAUUUUGUGUUGAUCUGUGUUUUACAUCAUUAUUUCAAAACAAUUUUACUGCAUAGAUUUCCCUAUUUUGUUUUAUCAGCACUCCAUACAUGCAUGCGGUAAGUGGGGGGUCCCCGUGAGGAUUAAUAAAAAUAAAAUGUAUGAAGUUG